UACGUAGGUGGCAAGCGUUGUCCGGAAUUAUUGGGCGUAAAGCGCGCGCAGGUGGGAUAAUCAGUCUGAUGUUAAAGUUCGGGGCUUAACCCCGUGAAGCAUUGGAUACUGUUAUUCUUGAGUGCAGGAGAGGAAAGUGGAAUUCCUAGUGUAGCGGUGAAAUGCGUAGAUAUUAGGAGGAACACCAAUUGCGAAGGCAGCUCGCUGGGACGUUACUGACGCUGAGACGCGAAAGCGUGGGGAGCAAACAGG
rnacentral:rRNA from 1 species